rnacentral:rRNA from 1 species
CCUACGGGAGGCAGCAGUAGGGAAUAUUGCUCAAUGGGGGAAACCCUGAAGCAGCAACGCCGCGUGGAGGAUGAAGGUUUUAGGAUUGUAAACUCCUUUUGUUAGAGAAGAUUAUGACGGUAUCUCACGAAUAAGCACCGGCUAACUCCGUGCCAGCAGCCGCGGUAAUACGGAGGGUGCAAGCGUUACUCGGAAUCACUGGGCGUAAAGAGUGCGUAGGCGGGGUAAUAAGUCAGAUGUGAAAUCCGGUAGCUUAACUACAGAACUGCAUUUGAAACUGUUACUCUGGAGUGUUGGAGAGGUAGGUGGAAUUCUUGGUGUAGGGGUAAAAUACGUAGAGAUCAAGAGGAAUACUCAUUGCGAAGGCGACCUGCUGGAACAUUACUGACGCUGAUGCACGAAAGCGUGGGGAGCAAACAGGAUUAGAUACCCGGGUAGUC